UUCUUAAUUUAUUCUUUAUAUACAAUAUUAUCUGAUCAAAUCACAAUCUUCGAAAUUGAUGUAAACAAUUUAAUUCUAAAUUAAUAAAAUUUCUUGUCUUUGAAAAAAAAAAUGGUAAUCUUGGAUUUGCACUGAUACUCGCAACUUCGAUAAUAUUUGACUGUUUGACUAAUGGUAAUCAUAUUAGUGUGCGUAAUUAUAAAUUUAUAAGAACACUAUAACAAAUCUGGAAUCACGUACGAUCAGGGGUUAGAGCUGUUUAAUCUGCUUGUGCGACGGAUCUAGUUUUCACCAAUUGUCCAUUCAGUUUCUGCCAAGUGUCAUGGUCGUGCAGAUGCAGACCAAGAAUAUACUGGGAGCUUGGUUGGCUUCCUUUUCCAACAAUUCUUGAAAAGCUAGCUUUUUUUUCAGCAAAACAAACAAGUGGUACGUAGUACAUUGCUAUCAGUUGAUCUUUUAUAUCACUGCAAAUCCCGUUGCCUCUAGAUAUUAGCAAUGCAACAGACAAAAGACAAAAAAGAUGUUAAAAAUGGUGCAUACUCAAACCCUAUUAAUAUAUAUAUAUAUAUAUGUGUACAUACAUACAUAUGUGCACACUAUGAUAAUGGAUAAUACUUUUCUCAUUUCGGUAAGGAGGAAACCCUAAUAGUUAUAGUUGAUCUUGUCAAUAUUUGUUUCCACACAUACAGAUAGUCAAACAAACAAUUCCGAGUUUUGCAGUAAAAUAAUGACACGUAAUGGAGAAUUACUUCGUUACCAAAAAUAAAGAAUUUAUUAUUCUAAUAUAAUAUUGAUCAACUUGAUAUGUAUCAUAAUAUUGAAAUCCCCGCAAACAAUGAGAAAGUAUAAAGCUCUUAACCCUCCCAUUCAUUACGAAUUAUAUACAUACGCAUGUCAAAUUAACCCCUUCUAUGCAAUAUCCAUGUGAACUAAGGACUCAUUAGAACAAAACUUGGCAGUCGGCAUUGCCUUUUUAUCUUUGACAGGAUGAAAAUUGUAAUAAUUAAACUAGUUGUACGUGUUUAGAGAGAAAGAGAGAAGCACUUUAACCAAGAUAUGGAGAUGGAGAGGUGUAGGAAGGGGGUGAUGGCUUGCCUAUUCAUUUUCCGACAAGUAAACAAAGGAAAUCGUCUCUGCCGUUCCAUUGGUAGGCAAAAGCUACGGCAAAGUAAAAAGGAAACAAACCUUUGAACAUCGUCUCUCUCUCUCUCAGGCAGCAAGACCACACUUCCUGCUCACCAUGUGAUGAGGAAUGAGUAAUCUAGUGCCUUUUAUUUAAUCUUAUAUAUAUCCCUAUUUUG
rnacentral:lncRNA from 1 species